ensembl:lncRNA
AGAAGGAGCAUUCAAGAGAUGAGAGAGGGAGUGGAAUUCCUCCCUCUCCCGAGAACUGUCCCAGUGAAGUGCUCAGGAAGAGCUGUAAAACUGAGAUUUUAAAGAAAGAUUUGAUUUAGAGGACAGAAGAGAUGUGUGUCCCCUGUGUCCCUGUGCCCUGAUGGUGUGCCACUCAAUGGAGAGCCCAGACCCCUCAUCCCUUUCCUCAUCCAUACAACAGCUGCUGAUUGCUGCUAGUGCACAAGCUAUUCCUCUGGGCUCACAUCGCUUGAUUUCUGAGACUCCCACCAGACAGCUUGGUCCCUGGCACUGCAACCUUGGAUGGGACUGCUCCACCUACCUGUUGUGCAUUGGACUGGAGGGGCCUCAAGCUAGACAUGAGACUGCAGAAGAGACUGGAGAUGUAUUGGGAGUGGGCAGGGACUCCCUCUCCAUUUGUGGUCCACAGCCCUGCUGGUGUGUUCUACGCCAUUCUUCCUGCACAGGCUCAUCCAGCAGCUCAACCCCAACCUGUUUCAGAGCCUAAUCAGCACUACUGCAAGGUCCUGCUUCUGGCAGAGGACAAGGAGUAUCAGUGCCCUUGGCAAUACAGUAGAUUUCAAUAUAUUUUCUCCACCUUACCUAUCGCUGAAAAUAAUAACUUACAAAUAUUCAAAAGCAACAAGGGUAGAAGCAUGGAUUUGUCUCUUUCUGAUAGGUUCAGUGGUGUAAAAAUCGCGUCAGUCAUAAUUUGCACUAGUCAUAGGCAUUAGGUGAUAAAACUUUCAUGUAUGUUCUGGGCCCUAGUUGCUUGACAGUUGGCUAUCAAACAGUACUGAUGCCUCAGAAAAAUAAGCAGGAGGACUUUUUUUCACAAAGUUUACCCUUUUCUGCUGUUAUGAUUUGAUUGUAAGAGUUUGAUUCCUUGCAAAUCAUCCACACUGAGAAAUGAAGCCAAGCAGCUUAUGAGAUCAGUCAAAAGCAUGGUUUGAUAGGGAUUGUUUCUUAUGAGAAAACGGAUAUCACAAUAAGCCUUGAGAGUACAAAAAAAAUAAAUAAAAUAGAAU